rnacentral:rRNA from 1 species
GGGAUUCCUUAGUAACGGCGAGUGAAGUGGCAAGAGCUCAAAUUUGAAAUCUGGCCCUUUCGGGGUCCGAGUUGUAAUUUGCAGAGAGUGUUUCGGGUGAGACCACGGUCUAAGUCCAUUGGAACAUGGUGUCAUAGAGGGUGAGAAUCCCGUAUGUGACUGUGGGUGGAGCCCAGGUGAAGCCUCUUCGACGAGUCGAGUUGUUUGGGAAUGCAGCUCAAAAUGGGUGGUAAAUUUCAUCUAAAGCUAAAUACUGGCUGGAGACCGAUAGCGCACAAGUAGAGUGAUCGAAAGAUGAAAAGCACUUUGAAAAGAGAGUCAAACAGUACGUGAAAUUGUUGAAAGGGAAGCGUUUGCAACCAGACCUGCCCGUAGGUGAUCAGCCGCUGUUUUCAGUGGUGCACUCGCUCUACGAUCAGGCCAGCAUCGGUUCGGGCGGCCGGACAAAGGCCCUGGGAAUGUAGCUCUCCCCGGGGAGUUUUAUAGCCCUCGGUGCCAUGCGGCCAGCCUGGAUCGAGGACCGCGCUUCGGCUAGGAUGCUGGCGUAAUGGCUGUAAACGACCCGUCUUGAAACACGGACCAAGGAGUCUAACAUCUAUGCGAGUGUUUGGGUGUCAAACCCGUACGCGGAAUGAAAGUGAACGGAGGUGAGAACCCCUAAGGGCGCAUCAUCGACCGAUCCAAAUGUCUUCGGAUGGAUUUGAGUAUGAGCAUAGCUGUUGGGACCCGAAAGAUGAUGAACUAUACUUGAAUAGGGUGAAGCCAGAGGAAACUCUGGUGGAGGCUCGCAGCGGUUCUGACGUGCAAAUCGAUCGUCAAAUUUGGGUAUAGGGGCGAAAGACUAAUCGAACCAUC